GAUGAACGCUGGCGGCGUGCUUAACACAUGCAAGUCGAACGGAAAGGCUCCUGCUUGCAGGGGUACUCGAGUGGCGAACGGGUGAGUAACACGUGGGUGAUCUGCCCUGCACUUCGGGAUAAGCCUGGGAAACUGGGUCUAAUACCGGAUAGGACGAUGGUUUGGAUGCCAUUGUGGAAAGUUUUUUCGGUGUGGGCUGAGCUCGCGGCCUAUCAGCUUGUUGGUGGGGUAAUGGCCUACCAAGGCGUCGACGGGUAGCCGGCCUGAGAGGGUGUACGGCCACAUUGGGACUGAGAUACGGCCCAGACUCCUACGGGAGGCAGCAGUGGGGAAUAUUGCACAAUGGGCGCAAGCCUGAUGCAGCGACGCCGCGUGGGGGAUGACGGCCUUCGGGUUGUAAACUCCUUUCGCUAGGGACGAAGCGCAAGUGACGGUACCUGGAGAAGAAGCACCGGCUAACUACGUG
rnacentral:rRNA from 1 species